GGUUAUUGGGCCACAGCCUGUCAGAGCUGGGGAAGCAGGGACCAGAGGCUGAGCGUCUACUGUUGGGCAGGCAUCUUCCACCACUGACGGUUCAGUCCUCUGCAAGAACUGAUGAGAUCCAGGCUCAGAGAUGUUGUCGCUGCUGCCUAAGGUCACACAGCUGGGAGGUGACUCAGCAAGGGGUAGAAGGAGGUGGCCUGCUCCCCUCCCUCCCAUCCCUGCUCUGGGAGCUCCUGGAGAACAGAGCCCAUAGCCUCCCACUUCUGGUCAGCACCAGCGCCAGUGAGGCCGCUGAGGCCCAGUGCAGGGCCUAGGGGAUGGAAGAUGGUGGACUCCACGGAGCGGGCUUGAGGAGACCAGAUUCUGGCCAGAUCCAGCUCCACUUCUCUGGGUGACUCUGGGCAGGCUGCCUUCCCUCUUUAGUCCUCAGUUUCCCCAUCUGUAAAAUGGAGACAUCAGAGUCCAAGAUAAGUGGCAAGAAAUGUAAAUCUUACUUUUGGAUUAGAAUCAAGACAGAAAUUACAUGGAGUGGAUUGCAAAAGUCACAUGAAUUUUGAAGCAGCAGUGCAAGAUUGGGCGACUUGAGUUGCCUCCGUGGGCCUUAGUUUCUUCAUCUGUUAAAUGGGCAGAGUUGUUCUGGAUGAAAAGGAACUGGGGCCCAGCUUCCCUUGGCGUGUAGACUUAGACAUCAUCUCUCCCGUAAGUAUCUUGUUUCAUUAUUCAAAUACCUUGGAUUAAAAGAGGAGAGGAGAAUUUAUUUCUGGAGGCAGGUGCCUGGGGAUAAAGGGGUAAGUGAUGAUGAGGGGGAGAUGACUGCAUCACGCUCUUUCCCUUCCUGGCCUCGGGGCUACUGCCUAUUGGAGCAGGGAGAGACCUGAGCCCUCAGCAGAGGCACAACUCCUGGAGACACCAGCACUGCUGCAGAGGUGGGAGGCCCCACUGCAGGGUGAGCAGCCCAUGAGAAGGGCAGGUGGAUGCUGAGGGCAGAGGGAGCCCUGAGAACACGCCCCACCCACUGCAGGUGCUCAGAGAUCACUGGGGAGACCCAAGAAGGAAGUGAGGUUCUAUGGUCCUCUGGUGGGUGGAGGGCUGUUGCCUGACGUUAAUGUGGCCCCUUUAUUUCUUGCUGGUGGGGAAGUCUAAGGCAUCCUGGUUGCCAGGAGAAUAACCUGCCCUGCCCGGAGCAGCAGGUUCCGAGGGGUGGGGUGUGCUGAGGAUGCUCGCAGGUGCUUCUAGGAGAAGGACUCUGCUGUGAAAUUUGCAUGGGUGACUGCAUUUGUGUUUUGUUUUUGCUUUUGUUUUUUCUCUAUAACGACCUCAAAAUCUCAGGGGCUGAUAGCAGCAAACAUUUAUUUCUCAUUCAUGAGUCUGUGGGCUGCUUGGGGCAGGGGUUCUGUUUCAGGUCUUGGGUGAGCUCCAGGGGUGCUCCUCGGGCUGCUCCUGGAGCCAGGGGACCCCUGUUCUUCUCAGGGACCAUGGCUGAAAUGCAAGGAGGGUGAGCUCAUGACCAAGUUAUGCCUUUUAAGGCCUCAGUUCAGGACUAGCAAUUGUCACUUCUGCUAUGUUUCAUUGGCCAACAUGAGUUCAUGGCCACAUCCAGCAUCAGAGGGACUGGGAACUGUGCUUUGCCCGAGCCAGGGUCACGCGGCAGAAGGAGGGAGGGAGGUAUCGGGAGCAAUCCCAGCUGCCGCCUCAAUGCUACAGACUCAGGUGCCUCGUGCAGAACCAAGGAGCACCCAGGCCUCCCGUGUCUCCGGUGGGGUCCCCAGGUCCUCCCGACACUUUGCCCUCAGUAUUAGGUAAACUGGCUUGAGCCCCAGGCCGGCCGCUGUGGGAUGUUGGGUCUCCCAGGGCUCAGGGCCCUGUGAUCCUGCGCCCUCUGGUUUCCUGAUUCUGCUCGAUGGGACCGCUCUCCUCCCUGCGCUGUUCCCCCUCCACCCCACACUACACUGAGCUCAGAGCCCAGGCGGGAGUUCUCCAAACCCUCCCUCCCGCCUGGCGAAACAACAAGCCAUCGAUUUUGGGUUUCUAUUUCCGAUACGACAAAACACUGUGGAAGAUGUAUGAUUGUUAUUCUUACAGUGGUUGUUUUGCCUCAAACGUGAUGAAAUUCUUUCCCCCACCUGUCUGGGUGAUCCAAAGAGAGCGCUGCAAAGAUUCAUCUCCCGCCUGCCCUCCUGCUGGAGGUGCCCCCGGGGCAGCGUGCUGUGUUUUCUUCCAUCCUGCUGCACGGAUUAGCACAUGAAAGGUGCACUUGGCCCAGGAAGCGAUCUUUCCUGGAACAUCUAAUACCUAUCCUCUGACAGGGGCUGGUGUGCGAAAAGCCCUUUAGGAUUCAGGGUGCUUGGGAGGAUUAAAUAAAGGAAAUUGUGUCAGGGCCCCUGUGCACUGAUAGGAAGCGAGUUGGUGUUCGUUCUCCUUUCUUUAGAGGACACCCCACCUUAGAUGACCCUGUAAUGACUGUCCAGGCCAGGACAUUUCAGAGAGCAAGGGGACACGGCUACGAAUCAUGUCCAGACAGCAGGCAUAAAGUGGGACUGUCCCAGGCCAGGUGGGACUUGUGUCUGCUCUAUCCCACCAUCCCACCCUGGACUUUAUCAUGGACUCUGUUUCCUCCAGUGUCUCCCUCCCACCUCCAGGAGGAUGGGGCCGGACAGGUAGGAAGGCCCCAGGCCCACCUGCAGUGCACAAGGCUGCCUUUUGGCCCUGGAGGGUGAGGCCCCCCGGUGGGCAGGGGCAGUGGAAACCAGCCGGGACUCAGAUUCUGACAGACCAUCCAGCCUUACGCCUCUCCAGAACUAGAAAAGCCCCAGGGAGAGGUCUGUGCCCCAAGGUGCGCCAUCAGCAGAGCCUCCGGCCCUGCCCCCAUGCCCAGCCGCUGGCUCCUCCAAGCCUCUGCAGACAGGGGGCCUGAUUUCCUUGGAUGAGCUGGGAUGAGGGUGGGCAGCCCUCAGUUAGGCCUCGGUUGGAUCGUGGCUCUGCCCCGUGUGACUUAGCACAGGUCACCCCACCUCCCUGAGCCUCAGUUCCCUCAUCUGCGGAGUGAGUACAAUUGCAUUUUUCUCCUGGGAUUGUUAUGAGAAUCUAGUGGGUCCCCUGAACCCAGAGUCUCAUUUAUCUCCCACGAGGUCAAUCCCACCAGUCUCUGAGCAAAUAUUUACACUCACAUGCAUGCACACACUGCACACAUACAUGCACACACACGCACACACCAGGCAUGUACGCACACACCCACAGAAUGCACCUAGAACACAUCCCCUCUUCUCCUUGGUUCCCAAACCCUUCCCAAUCCUUCCCAAAUCCUUCAAGGGCCCAGCUCAGAUGCUCCUUCUCCAGGAUGUCUCUUCAAGACUAGCUAGAGCAUUGGCUUUUCUGGAUGAUACCACCCCCAGCCCAUUUGGGGUGGGGGGGCUGACACCUCCUCUUUCUGUGCUCCCGAGGCUUGAAUGGGCCUCCAUGACCCACGUGUCACCUUAUCCAUUCAUUAGUUAUAUUUAUGUAUUAUAACUUAUCCAGGUGUACAAGAAAUAGGGAAUAAGCCCUUACAACGGGCCAGUGCUUUACUAGGUCACGGGAGGCCAACGUGAACGAGAUUCGAUUCCUACCCUCAGCAGCUGUGGGACUAGAAGGAGAGACAUCAGUUUCUCCGUGGUGGUGGAUCCUGGGCUGUAACAGAAAGUUGAUCUCACAGCACCUGGAGGCCUCCCCUCACUGGCAUUGUUUCCAGCAACUUCCAGGCUGGAGUCCUAGGGAGGUGGUGGAGGCAAGUCCAUCUCUUUCUUUCCCUGUGAGCGCGAAUCAGGACUCACCCACCUGCUUCUUUGGGGGAUGAUUACCUGUCAAGGUUCAUUUGAGCCCCUGGCCUCCCGGAGACUCUCCCACCCGCCGCAGGACGUCUGGAUGGCCGCCGAGGAGCUGCUCCCCGGGGGUUAGGGGAGUGAAAUGACUUCUCCCCCACCUCCUUGCUUCAUGUAGCAGGUGGGCACUGUGACAUCUCAGGCCUGCCAGACCUGAUAACGGAACUGUCAUGGUCGGACUGGUCAUGGGAGGUGAGCAGCGAAGAUUCCAGGAAAUCGCGGAGUCUGUCUGCCACACAGGCCAUCUCAAAUUAGAUUGGCUCACUGAGCGAUUUCAGAUCCUGUAAAUUGCAUCUGGAGGUCUUCUUCCCCUGACCUGCAGCAGGCCCGUCACUGUGCUGCUCUGCCUCCAACUCCUACAGCUUUCCCUAAGCCCAUCACUAUUAGAAACAGUAGGUCUGGGCUUGAACCCCUGGGUGGUAACUGACCAGCAUGUGACUGACUGCCCCUGAUGGUGGUGUGGGAAAAUGGGGGUGAUUGUUUUAAUUGGGUCCAUUUCUGCCAUAAGAAAUAGACAUUCACACUGGCUUAAGUUUAAAGCUCGGAAAUUUAUAGGCUCAUGUAACAGAGAAGUUCAAGGGGAUUCAGGCACAGCUGGAUCCAGGUACUUAAAUGAAGUUGUCAGGCAUCCAUUACACCCCAUCUCUUGGCUCUGCUUUCCUCUGAGUGGGCCUCCUCUUGAAGGCCCCCAGGAGCUUCAGCAGAAAAAAAGCACUUUGUAGACUCAUGUGUCCACUCCCGAACCAACUACUGUGGCCUGGUUCCCAUGCUGGCCAUGACUCUGCACGUUUGCGUGUGCUGUUCCUUCUACCUAGAGCACCUCUUUCUCUUUUCUCUUUUGAUGUGCAUCUCUGAGUCACCAAAACUGAAUUCAGCCCCUCUCCUCAUGGAUGCUCGCCCCACCCCACUCCCCAGUCUGCUUCAGGCAUCCCCGCUCUGAGUCUGCAUUGCAUUUAGUCUCCAUGUGUAUCAUAUGAUCAUCAUGGGUUUCUGUGCUGAAUUUCAUUUCACUGUGAAUAUAAUGAAAUUUGAAAUAGUGGCCCAGUGUUGCCCACUACCAGCCCCUCAGCACUAAGCACAGACUCUGGUACACAGUUGGUGCUCAAUAAGUGUUUGCUGAAGGAAGGAAUGGUGAGUGGUGAGUGGGGAAGUUCUGGUGCAUGUUCGGAAGGCAGAGGAUUAAACUGGGCAGUGGUGGGGGGAUGGGGCUGACAUAAGACACAUCCCACCAGAAUGGUGUGGUCAUCCCUGCCCCUCCCUCCCUCUGCGUGCUUAGGAUCUGCUCCAGGAAUCUGAGAUGGCCUCACCUCGCUCAGCCUUGAAUUCUCAGUUACCCACCUGCCAUCCACACUUAAGUAGUCAAUGAGAUGUUGGCCUCAAAACUGGGCUGUAAUUUCUUUUUGAAUCUGGGAGGGGAAAACAGAUCCGCUCACUCUUCACAAUGAAGAGAGCUCUGGCAAGGACAAAAUCUCUUCCGGGCACAUGUGGUACCGACCAGGGUUCUUGGCCUCCUUAAUCAACAGAAAUUGGUAAGAGGCCAGAUGAGAAAUUCAGGCAAGGCUUUACUGGGACAUGGGCUGCAGCACGAGGGAGCGAAAACAAGUAAGUGGUUCUUCACUCCUUGGGGAGGGGUGCGAGCUGGGCCCUUAAAUGGGACGAGGGUCGGGGCAGGCCCCGGGGUGGGGCUGGAGAGGUGGCUUAGGCGGUCUGCCCACCUCUCCGUGGUGCUGUGUGCCGGGAUCAUGCACAGUAAGUGUCCUGCUUUUGCUCCCAACACCUCAGAAGUGGUAGGCAGCUGGGCUUUUGGUCUUUUUGUAUCUUGUUGUUCAUAAUUUGCCCCAAUCGCCCAUGCACACAGUUAUUUCUAGUCCCUUAUAGUUUCUUUGCUUCUGUUGUUCCGUCCCGGUGCAAGCACAACAGCCCAGGGUUCUAGGUCCCAGGUCCCAAGUCCCAGCCUGUCUCACUUGGAGGAGCUCACGUUUUCGCUGAGCAGCCCUAGAGAAUGGGUGGCCAGGGCCCUGCUUCCUCGACCUGCUCCUUGCUUACGGCUGUGUGAUCUUAGGCUGGGCAUGGCCCCCUCUGGAGAUCAGUUUACCCUCCUGACAAAUGGGGGUGGCAACCUGCUGUAUUCGUUCCCAUGAGCUGCUGUACCAAAGUGCCACAAACUGAGCAACUUUAAACAACUGAAACUUAUUGUCUCACAGUUCUGAAAACUAGAGGUCCCAAAUCAAGGUGUCAGCAGAGCCGUGCUCCCUCCGAAGCCCCUGGGGAGGAGUCAUCCUUGCUCUUCCAGCUUCCGGAGCCCUGGGCCUUCCUUGGCUUGUAGACUCAUCACUCCGGUUCUGCCUCCACCUUUACGAGGUGUCUCCCUGUGCAUCUCUGUGUCCUAAUUCUCCUCUUCUUGCAAGGACAUGGGACCUGUUGGAUUGCGGCUCAUCCUAAUGACCUCAUCUUAAUCUGAUUAUAUCUGCAAAGCCCCCAUUUCCAAUGUUUCUUCAUCAAGCAACUGAAAGAAAAGCCUUCAUCCAGGUGUAGCGUGAAGACAUUUUCUGACUUCCUCUGUCUUGCCUGGUUCAAGUUCGCCAACGCUUUCCUGGAGAGCCCCACCAUCCUUGCUCACACUCUUGUGUCUCCUGACUCUGCUUCUUUAGGACAAAAGCCUUUUUCACAUUUUCAGAGAAUCCUCCUCCAGUGAGCUUUCACAAAGGCAAAGUUUUUUAAUUCCAAUGAGGUUCAACCUAAUCAUUUUUUCUUUUUAUGAUUCAUAUGUUUGGUGUCAAGUCUAAGAACUUUUUGCUUAGCCUCAGGUUAUGAAGAUUUCCUCCUAUAUUUUCUUCUUAAAGUUUCCUGUUUUGCAUUUACGUAUAUGAUCCUUUUUGAGUUCUGUAUAAGUGUGUCAAGGUUAAUUUUGUUGUUUAUGGAUGUGCAAUUGCUGCAGCUCUGUUUGUUGAGUAGGCUAGCCUUCCUCCAUUGAAUUGCUUUUGCAUUUUGUCAAAAACCAUCUGAGCGUAUUUGUGUGGGUUUGUUUCAGGGUUCUUUCUUUUGUUCCAUUCAUCUAUGUGUCUAUCCUUCUACCAAAACCUCAGAGUCUUGAUUAAUGUAACUAUAUACUAUCCCUUAACAUCACAUACAGUGAUUCCUCCCAUUUUCUUCCCUGUCAAGACUAUUUUAGCUGUCCUAGUGUCUCUGUUUUUCCAUAUGAAUUUUAGAAUAAGCUUGUCUAUGUUUAUUAAAAAAAACUCACUGGGGUUUUAAUAAGAAUUGUGUUAAACCUUUGUAUCAGUUUGGUGAGAAUUCACAUAUUUACUAGGUUGGGCAUUCAAGUCCAUGAGCAUAGUCUGUUUCUCCAUUUGUUUAUUUAGGUCUUUUACACUUUCUUUUAUGUGUAAUUUAUAAUUUUCAGCAUACAGAUUCUGUACAUGUUUUGUUAAGUGUAUAGCUAAAUGUUGCAUUUUCUUUGAUACAAUUGUAAAUAGUACUGUGUUUUUAAUUUUGGUGUCCGUGUGUUUUGUUAACUUAUAGAAAUAUAAUUGGUUUUUGUGCAUUGAUUUUGUAUCCCCAAACCUGAACACACUUAGUUCUGGAAGAUAUUUUGCAGAUUCCUUGAAAUUUUCUACAGAUAACCCAUUGUCUGCAAAAGGGAUCAUUUUAUAUCUUCUUUUCCAAACGAUAUGCCUUUUAUUUCUUUUUCUUACCUUAUUGCAGUGGCUAUGAAUUCCAAUACUACAUUAAAUAAGAGAGAUAAGAGCAGAUAUCCUUGCCUUGUUUCUAAUCUUGGGCAGAAAACAUUCAGAAUUUCACCUCUAAGUAAGUUAGAUGUAGGUUUUGUAUAGAUGUUCUUUAUUUUCUUGAAGAUAUUGCAUAAAAUUGGUACUUGUUCUUUUUUAAAAAUUUCGUAGAACUCUC